GCCUGCAUGAAGCCGGAAUUGCUAGUAAUGGCAGGUCAGCAUACUGCCGUGAAUACGUUCCCGGGCCUUGUACACACCGCCCGUCACACCAUGAGAGUUGGGGAUACCCAAAGCCCGUGAGCCAACUGUAAAGAGGCAGCGGUCUAAGGUAGGAUCAAUGAUUGGGGUGAAGUCGUAACAAGGUACC
rnacentral:rRNA from 1 species